rnacentral:rRNA from 1 species
AGCGAACGCUGGCGGCAGGCCUAACACAUGCAAGUCGAACGGACCCUUCGGGGUUAGUGGCGGACGGGUGAGUAACACGUGGGAACGUGCCUUUAGGUUCGGAAUAGCUCCUGGAAACGGGUGGUAAUGCCGAAUGUGCCCUUCGGGGGAAAGAUUUAUCGCCUUUAGAGCGGCCCGCGUCUGAUUAGCUAGUUGGUGAGGUAAUGGCUCACCAAGGCGACGAUCAGUAGCUGGUCUGAGAGGAUGACCAGCCACACUGGGACUGAGACACGGCCCAGACUCCUACGGGAGGCAGCAGUGGGGAAUCUUGCGCAAUGGGCGAAAGCCUGACGCAGCCAUGCCGCGUGAAUGAUGAAGGCCUUAGGGUUGUAAAGCUCUUUUACCCGGGACGAUAAUGACUGUACCGGGAGAAUAAGCCCCGGCUAACUUCGUGCCAGCAGCCGCAGUAA